CUGGACCCAUAAUUAUAUAUUUCUAUUUAUAAAUGAAUGCCAUGGGAUUUUAUCAUCAAUACUAUGGAUUUGUUAUCACCAUUAUUUCUGUGACCCAACUCAAGGUAUUUGAUAUUUUUAUUGUAAGUCACAGUCUCUAUUAGUGGAUUUUCUAGGUGUGUUGGAGCUCAGUGGCAGCCAGAUGAAUACAGGUUUGGAUCACCGACUGCAGUUCAAAAACCCUCAGAAUAUGUGUAUUGGUAAGGAGGCAUGUGCUCAGGUCAUGUCUGCAUCCCAAGGCAUGAACAGUUCAGCUCUGCAAGCAGGGGUGACUGAAAUGAUCCUUUGAAGCAACCGGCUUUGACGUUUGGAAAAAAGAAUUAAAAACCAAAAGAAUGCUCUAAUUAAAGAAAACAUCAGUUAAAGCACAAGAAGAAACCUAAGAUUUUGAUCAGUUCUUUCAUGUGUGCCUGACAACUGCACAGCACUAGCAGAGGCCUCAUUAGAGGCUGCUCCCCCAAAAUCCAGAUGGAGGUGCAGAAACACCGGUGAGUGAUAUGCAGGACUGCUUUGUGGAGGAAAAUUAAAUAUCUGCUACCCUUCACAUAACACCGGUGUGAUCUACUGCCCAAGCAGCUCAGGAAAAGAGAACUUUGUUUACAGUGGCGCUAUUUAACGCUGUGUCAGAAGUUAAAAUGGGCUCAAAAGGGUGUGUAUGUGUGUUCUCCACUGUUGGUUCCAGUGAGACUCAGAUCCUCUGGCUCCGUGUGCUUGCCCAGAG
rnacentral:lncRNA from 1 species